rnacentral:tRNA from 1 species
AGUAGGGUAAGCUAAUUAAGCUAUCGGGCCCAUACCCCGAAAAUGUUGGUCUCAAUCCUUCCCAUACUA